rnacentral:misc_RNA from 1 species
GCAUAAUGUUAUCAGACACCGUUGAUGCAAUUGUGAUCGGAUUCAUCGAAGGAGCUCUUGGGCCAUUUGGGGUGUUCGGGCUAUCGGUCUGCUCUGUUCUUGUUGGGCUUAUCUCUUGAUGAGCACCCGACCUGGAUGCCGAUUCUUCAUUUGCUUCACUUGGGCUAGCUUUAUCUUCAGCAUUGUUCAGUUCUUGCUCCUUAAACUCCUCCGUGUACAUCUCCUCGACCAUUGGUUUCCAUAACCGGACUCUUGCAUUGAUGAACCAAUUUGACACCUGACUCCUAGUAAGCCCAGUUUGCUUUGCAAGCAUGUGUUUAUCAGCAUCUUUUGGGUACGGGUGAAGGAAAUGCUCAAAGAGCCAAGCGCGGAGCACCGAAACAGCUCGUUCAGGC